UUUAGCCGCGCUCGGGUAAAAAUGGAGCCGGCGUCGCGCGGGUUCCCGAGGCCGUGCGCGCCCCCCUUGCGAGAACGGGGGCCGGGGGCGCGCGCCUGAGUCACCGCCUCCCGCGGCCCCGCUGCGCCGCGAGGAGCACGGACCGCUGGCUCCGGACACCCCGCAUCCGCUCGAACCUUCUGGGUCCCUGGGCACCUGGAAACCGGCAGGCUCAGAAUAUUCCAGGAACAUCGCGACGCGUCCACCCGGCCUCCAGCGGCUGACGGCGGACUUUGGGGCAGAGGCGCCCCCUGGUGGUCCUACCGGGGAUUGCAGGCAGGAGCUGGCCAGGAUGAGUCCAGCCAUUCUCCUCUCUACAAACCACCCCCCCACACACCUAUUUCUAAAUGAGGAAACUGAGGCAGGGAGAGGAACUGAUUGGGACCUUGCAGCCUGAAUUGCAAGGUACGGUCGUUCAGCUUCAGCCUGGACACCUCGACACCUCCCUUAGUGGCGAACUCACUACCUGUCAGACAAACCUGGAGACAGAAGCCUGGAGAGGACCCAGUUGAGGACUGAGCUUGAAGACUGUAGAUUACAUGAGUGUCCACUGCAUAAUUGUUCAGCUUCAGAUUGUUCCAGAACACCACAAGAAAUCCCAAGGCUCAGUGGCCCCAGAACAAAUGCCCCUCCUCCCCGACACCUGAUGUCCUCCCAGAUGGAAAAUACGCUGAUGGCGAAUUCCAGGGACCAGGGCUGUCCACGAGAAAUAUGAUCUGAAGAAUGAAAAACUCCUUUCAAAUCUCCCCACCGUCAAAGUGGAGCUGUCCAGGGCAGAUCUGUGUAGUGGGUUGAACGGUGUCCGCCUCCCCUCCCAAGAUAUGUCCACCUGACACCUGUGAAUGUGAGCUGGUUUGGAAAAAGGGUGAUUAAGGUACGGACUUUGAGAUGAGAUCACUCUAGAUUAUCCAAAUGGGUCCUAAACCCAACGGCAAGUGUCUUUAUAAGAGACAGGAGGAGAAGACACAGACGCACAGAGAAGCCAUGUGACGAUGGAGGCAGAGACGGGAGCGGUGUAGCCACAAGCCCAGGAUCGGCCGGAGCCACCAGAAGCUGGGAGCGGCGAGGAUCCUCCCCUAGAAUCUUCCGACGGAGUGUGGCCCUGCUGACACCUUGAUUUCGGAUUUCCGGCCCCCAGAACCGUGAGAGAAGAAAUUUCUUUUGUUUUAACCAACCAAGUUUGUGGUGACUUGUUACGGCAGCCACAGGAAAUGAAUAUAAUAAUCUGUCUGGGGACCCGUUUCUUCCUCCCUGAAAGCAGUUUCUGUGGCUUUUAGAUGCCAUCUCACAGGAGGGAACUAAGGCCUGGAAAGAGGGCGGAGCCGGAACCAGACCUCAGGCCCCCAGAACCUCAUCCAAGUUCAGGGGUCACUGUGGAAACUUGCAGGGCAUUUCGCCUGUUAGAAAAAUGUAGAACGCUUAUUGAGUUUUCUUUUAAGGCAGUGGUGGAGAACACAAACUUUGGUCGGAGUCCUGGUUCGGUUGCUCACUUGCUGUGUGGCCUUGGGCUAGAGGCUAACCUCUCUGUGCCUCCGUUUCCUUCUAUAAAAUGGGGAUAAUGAGAUAAGUCAUCUCAGAAGGUUGUGAUGUGGAGUAUAUGAGAAUCCAUAGACUUUACUGGGAGUCUUUGCAAAUGCUAUAAGAUGAGAAAAAUAAAUAAGGUAUAAAAAUUGGAAGGCGAGAGAUAAAACUACCGUUUGGGUCAUUUUCCAGGAAAAACUAAGAGAAUCAACAGACUAUUUUAAUAUGAGAAUUUGCCCAGAUUGCCUGUUAAAAGGUCAACCAACCAUACUUAAUAGCAUCCAUCAACUAGAAAUUAUAAGAGAAAUAAGAUAAAGGAUUAAUAAAUUAGAAAAAUGUCA